rnacentral:rRNA from 1 species
GACGAACGCUGGCGGCGUGCUUAACACAUGCAAGUCGAACGGAAAGGCCCUGCUUUUGUGGGGUGCUCGAGUGGCGAACGGAUGAGUAACACGUGAGUAACCUGCCCUUGACUUUGGGAUAACUUCAGGAAACUGGGGCUAAUACCGGAUAGGAGCUCCUGCUGCAUGGUGGGGGUUGGAAAGUUUCGGCGGUUGGGGAUGGACUCGCGGCUUAUCAGCUGGUUGGUGGGGUAGUGGCUUACCAAGGCUUUGACGGGUAGCCGGCCGGAGAGGGUGACCGGCAACAUUGGGACUGAGGUACGGCCCAGAAUCCUCCGGGAGGAAGCAGUGGGGAAUAUUGCACAACGAGCGGAAGCCGGAUGCAGCAACGCCGCGUGCGGGAUGACGGCCUUCGGGUUGUAAACCGCUUCCGCCUGUGACGAAGCGUGAGUGACGGUAAUGGGUAAAGAAGCACCGGCUAACUACGUG